AACGAACGCUGGCGGCAUGCCUAACACAUGCAAGUCGAACGCUCGUCUUCGGACGGGAGUGGCGCACGGGUGCGUAACGCGUGGGAACCUGCCUUUAGGUUCGGAAUAACUCUCCGAAAGGGGUGCUAAUACCGAAUAAUGUCUUCGGACCAAAGAUUUAUCGCCUUUAGAUGGGCCCGCGUUGGAUUAGCUAGUUGGUGGGGUAAAGGCCUACCAAGGCGACGAUCCAUAGCUGGUCUUAGAGGAUGAUCAGCCACACUGGGACUGAGACACGGCCCAGACUCCUACGGGAGGCAGCAGUGGGGAAUAUUGGACAAUGGGCGAAAGCCUGAUCCAGCAAUGCCGCGUGAGUGAUGAAGGCCCUAGGGUUGUAAAGCUCUUUUACCCGGGAUGAUAAUGACAGUACCGGGAGAAUAAGCUCCGGCUAACUCCGUGCCAGCCGCCGCCGUAAAAC
rnacentral:rRNA from 1 species